AUUUGAGAUCCGAGUAUGAUUGGGGAAAUAUCCUGAAAUAGUCUAUGAUUUGAAGAAAUGGAUAGAUGGCUAGAAUAACAUGCUAGAUGGUAGUCAAGUUACUAACUGCAGAAUUGAUUUGAUAAAAUUCUCAUCGUGUCUCCUGACUUAGGAGAAAUAUUGGGUCUGAUGAAUGGGUAAAAUUCCCAGGUGAAAAGAAUUUGGUCUGUAAGAUUUGGCAGCACCCUGAGGUUUGCCAUAUCUGAUGGCCUGGCUUUAGUGGCAGCACCUAGUGAAGGCCCAGGUGUCCUUCUGACAACCUUUACCACCUACCGUUUUGUCCUUACUUAUGUUGAAUCACUACACACAGGCUGUUGAAUUCAGCUGUCUGUGGAGAAAUUAUACCAACCACAUGGUUAGACAGAAGGAAUACAAUAUAUUGCUUAAUUUGUAUCUGAAAGCUAAGCAACAUGGAAAAAAAUCAAGCAUGCUCAGUCACUUCCAUGAGGACAAACGAAGACACUUCAAGGUAACCUUAGACAAAACACGUAUUAAUCUAUAAUCAGAUGCCAUUCAAAAUAAUAAGAGACAUUGACCUGAAUCUUAGAGCUGAUGCAACUGAGUGUGUCACCUCAGUAUUCAACCAGUAGGGGGUUGUUUAUGGGGAGGGCUUCGGCUUGCCAAUUAGAAGUCUUGGCUGAUUCUAGCACUUUCUUGGCUGAUUCUAGCACUUUCUGCAGGUUCUCUUUCUGCAGGUCAGUUACUUUGUUUGUAAAAGUGUACUCCUUCUUAGUAGCUAUCAACUCCUUCUUGGUAGGGUUAUUUCUUUUACUUCUUUGUAUUCCUUCCACUAUACAAAAUACAAACCCUUGUUUAUAGCUGAUUCCCCAGUAAAUUUCUGAAAGAACAAAUGGAUGAAAGAAGGAUGAUUUAUGAUAUGUCCAUGGUUGCUGAAAGAAUGGGGAAAAAUGUAAAAUCACCUGAAAAGUUAAUAGAUAAUAAAUGCAAGAAGUUUUAUUUGUAAAAAGCCAAUAGAUAAUAAAUAAAAGAAGUUUUAUCC
ensembl:lncRNA LINC01333 long intergenic non-protein coding RNA 1333